UUCCAAUCUCGAUCCCUUGUCACACGCGUCACGCUUCCAAUCCGCCGACCUUCCGCUCCGACCGCAGCAGGUCCAGGAGCCGGAGGGGUGGUGCUGGGCGUCGUUCCGUGCCAGGAUUCCGCGGAAAAAGAAGAAAACUCCGGCCGCCGCGCCAUGUCAAUUCCAGCGCCUCUGGAGGAUGAGGACCUCCUCAGGGAGAUCCUCCUCCGGCUGCCUCCGCUGCCGUCAACCCUCUCCCGUGCCUCCCUCGUAUGCACGCGCUGGCGCCGCAUCCUCUCCGAUCCCCGCUUCCUACGCCGUUUCAGCAGACACCACCCGGAACCUCCUCUCUUAGGUUUCUUCAAAGGGUCUACCCCAUAUCCCUUCUUAAUUCCUGUCCUGGACCCGCCCGAUCGCAUCCCUGCCGAGCGCUUCUUUCUGCCUGAGAUCACGGGGGAUUGGGAGUUCCUUGGCUGCCGCCACGGCCUCGCCGUCAUGCUCAGCGAGUCUCUGUGUGAGGUCUUCGUGUGGGAUCCCCUCAACGGCCAGCAGCACCGCGUGCCUUUUCCACUGGAGCUCCGCGACGCCAAAAGGGAGAGUUUCUGUAGGUGCAGCGCCACGGUGAUGUGUGUUGAUGAUCAAGACGGGCAUGUGCAGGACGAUUGCUUCUUGAACCCGUCCUUCAAAUUGGUCUUGAUCUGCUCCCGUAGAGACCUGAAGACGUCAUUAGCUUGUGCCUACGAAUCAGUGUCGGGUGUAUGGGGGAAUAUUGUCUCAGCGUCGACUAGAAGGAUGGUUAUGAAGCUAAAGCCCAGCAUCCUUAUCAGGAGUGCAGUUUACUGGUUGCUGCAUGGAGGUCAAAUCCUUGCAUUCGAUAUUCAAAGGCAGACUCUUGCUGUCAUCGAGACGCCCGUAGAUGCCCAACGUUGGUCCUUUCAGCUCUUACGGACAGAUGAAGAUAGCGUUCUUGGCCUCGCCGCUAUGUCGAAACUGGGCAUUCAUAUAUGGGAGAGGAAACUCAACUCUGAUGGUGUUGCCGGAUGGGUGCUUCUGCAGAAAAUCAAUCAAUUGGAGGGGAUGUUGUCUAACGACUUCAUAAAUGGAGGGAUGGUGGGGUAUGACGAGGAGUUAAAUGUGGUGGUUUUGUCUACAUACGAGUAUUUAACCAAAAACUAUCACAAUUCGCGGAAACGUGACAGAAAACUACCACUUUACGAUUUUGUCCCGAAAACUACCACUUUUUUAUUAAUCCGUGGCAAAAAACUA
rnacentral:rRNA from 1 species